rnacentral:rRNA from 1 species
AAUUUACAAACCUUACCGAAAGCAAUUGGAGGGCAAGUCUGGUGCCAGCAGCCGCGGUAAUUCCAGCUCCAAAAGCGUAUAUUAAAAGUUGUUGCAGUUAAAAAGCUCGUAGUUGAAGUUCUGGCUGUAUUGGGCCUCUGCACUCGAUGCGGAGGAACCAGCAGUCAUCCGCUUGCAAAUACAUGUCCUUCCUUAACCGGUAGGCUGUAUAAGUAAGCACUUUACCUUGAGAAAAACAGAGUGUUCCAGGCAGGUUUGUCCGGAAUGCGUUAGCAUGGAAUAAUAGAAUAUGACUGAAGUCGAUUUAUUGGUUAAAGGCUUUAGUAAUGAUUAAUAGGAACAAUCGGGGCAUUGGUACUUGUCAGUCAGAGGUGAAAUUCUAGGAUUUGACAAAGACUAACUGAUGCGAAAGCGUUUGCCAAGAAUGUUUUCAUUAAUCAAGAACGAAAGUUAGGGGAUCAAAGACGAUCAGAUACCGUCCUAGUCUUAACUAUAAACUAUACCGACUCGGAUUCAGAUGAAUUU